CAAAAUCCACCAUCUUUUCUCCCAAAUAAACCUCUCCUCCACAUUUCACUAUCUUUGCUGCUUCAUCCUUUACACACUCUUAUUAGGUAUGCAAACUGGCCUCCUCUCUGUGCUUCAUGCAGCUUUCCAUCUCUGGUGUCAUGACUCUCCUUUGACCGCCUCCCAGGCCUGGAACAUGCUCCCUCCCAACCCUCGUCUCCCAGAGUCUCUGUUCAAACACCACUUUCUACAAGAUAUCCUUCUUUGACUCCAACUGUUAGUGACCUCCCUCCUUGAUGGUCUUCUAGUCAUUUGUAUUUAGAAGGUAUACACAUAUCAUCUGCACAUGCUUCUUCCCACUUCAGAAUGAAUGUAAGUUCCUUGAGAAGUCGGACUUGUUGCAUUAUUUGUGUUUGUGACUCUAGCACCAUCACAGCACCAGGCAUGAGAAAGGAUCACCAGAUGGAAGAGCCCCCAAGAAAGAGUUCACCACUCACUGUAUGAAGCUCUGGGCAUUCUACAAACAAAACCUGCCAACCAUAUGCCUCAGGAGCUGAACAACAGGAAGAAUAAUGCAGGGAGAGCAGCCGUUCCACUUACUGCAUGUCCUAAGCUGCUCUGGUACUCAACAAACUCGACGGGUUCAGAAUUCAACUCACUGAGCCUAGGAUGGACACAGCCCAGAGCUUCAGAGACGCUCGCCGCCAAUAACCUCAUUUUGGCUGUGUGCUGUAUGGGCUGACAGACACUUCUGAGCAUAUUAGAUUCAACGGAACCUGCAGGGCACCCACUCCCCCCUUCUCCCCCAUUCAAAGACCCAAUCUCAGGAUUGUGGAACACUCAAGACUGACAUGAAGAACUGUGAAGACCGUGUCAACGAACAGACCUAACCCAAACAGCACUCAAACCCAGAGACUUCAGUAACUGACCAAAACUCAAAUUCACGGCCCACAACUUAAAUUUUCCAAAAAGGUGUUCCCUUUUCUUUUUUAAUUACAAAAAUAAAUUCAUUUCUAAUAGAGA